rnacentral:rRNA from 1 species
UACGGAGGGUGCAAGCGUUAUCUGGAAUCAUUGGGUUUAAAGGGUCCGCAGGCGGAUUUAUAAGUCAGUGGUGAAAGCCUACAGCUCAACUGUAGAACUGCCAUUGAUACUGUAAGUCUUGAAUUCGGUCGAAGUGGGCGGAAUAUGACAUGUAGCGGUGAAAUGCUUAGAUAUGUCAUAGAACACCGAUAGCGAAGGCAGCUCACUAGGCCUGGAUUGACGCUCAGAGACGAAAGCGUGGGGAGCAAACAGGAUUAGAAACCCCGGUAGUCC